GAUGAACGCUAGCGGGAGGCCUAACACAUGCAAGCCGAGCGGUAUAGUUUCUUCGGAAACUAGAGAGCGGCGUACGGGUGCGUAACACGUGUGCAACUUACCUUUAUCUGGGGAAUAGCCUUUCGAAAGGGAGAUUAAUACCCCAUAAUAUAUUAGAUGGCAUCAUUUGAUAUUGAAAACUCCGGUGGAUAGAGAUGGGCACGCGCAAGAUUAGAUAGUUGGUGAGGUAACGGCUCACCAAGUCAAUGAUCUUUAGGGGUCCUGAGAGGGAGAUCCCCCACACUGGUACUGAGACACGGACCAGACUCCUACGGGAGGCAGCAGUGAGGAAUAUUGGACAAUGGGUGAAAGCCUGAUCCAGCCAUCCCGCGUGAAGGAUGACGGUCCUAUGGAUUGUAAACUUCUUUUGUAUAGGGAUAAACCUAGAUACGUGUAUCUAGCUGAAGGUACUAUACGAAUAAGCACCGGCUAACUCCGUGCCAGCAGCCGCAGUAAAAC
rnacentral:rRNA from 1 species